CGCGUGGGUAACCUGCCUUAUAGCGGGGGAUAACUAUUGGAAACGAUAGCUAAUACCGCAUAACAAUAGAGAUUGCACAAUCUUUAUUUGAAAGUGCCAACUGGUACACUAUGAGAUGGACCCGCGUUGUAUUAGCUAGUUGGUAGUGUAAUGGACUACCAAGGCGAUGAUACAUAGCCGACCUGAGAGGGUGAUCGGCCACAUUGGGACUGAGACACGGCCCAAACUCCUACGGGAGGCAGCAGUAGGGAAUCUUCGGCAAUGGACGAAAGUCUGACCGAGCAACGCCGCGUGAGUGAAGAAGGUUUUCGGAUCGUAAAACUCUGUUGUUAGAGAAGAAUGUUGAUUAGAGUGGAAAAUUAAUCAAGUGACGGUAUCUAACCAGAAAGGGACGGCUAACUACGUG
rnacentral:rRNA from 1 species